AGAGUUUGAUCCUGGCUCAGGAUGAACGCUAGCGGCAGGCUUAAUACAUGCAAGUCGAGGGGCAGCAGGUCUGUAGCAAUACAGAUGCUGGCGACCGGCAAACGGGUGCGGAACACGUACGCAACUUUCCUUCAACUGAGGAAUAGCCCAGGGAAACUUGGAUUAAUACCUCGUAAUAUUAUGAAGUGGCAUCACUUUAUAAUUAUAGCUCCGGCGGUUGAAGAUGGGCGUGCGCCUGAUUAGGUAGUUGGCGGGGUAACGGCCCACCAAGCCUACGAUCAGUAACUGGUGUGAGAGCACGACCAGUCACACGGGCACUGAGACACGGGCCCGACUCCUACGGGAGGCAGCAGUAAGGAAUAUUGGGCAAUGGACGCAAGUCUGACCCAGCCAUGCCGCGUGGAGGAUGAAGGUCCUCUGGAUUGUAAACUUCUUUUAUCUGGGAAGAAAUCCAUAUUUUCUAAUGUGGUUGACGGUACCAGAUGAAUAAGCACCGGCUAACUCCGUGCCAGCAGCCGCGGUAAUACGGAGGGUGCAGGCGUUAUCCGGAUUCACUGGGUUUAAAGGGUGCGUAGGUGGGCAGGUAAGUCAGUGGUGAAAUCUCCGAGCUUAACUCGGAAACUGCCGUUGAUACUAUCUGUCUUGAAUAUCGUGGAGGUUAGCGGAAUAUGUCAUGUAGCGGUGAAAUGCUUAGAUAUGACAUAGAACACCGAUUGCGAAGGCAGCUAACUACACGAUCAUUGACACUGAGGCACGAAAGCGUGGGGAGCAAACAGGAUUAGAUACCCUAGUAGUCC
rnacentral:rRNA from 1 species